AUUGAACGCUGGCGGCAUGCUUUACACAUGCAAGUCGAACGGUAACAGGCCGCAAGGUGCUGACGAGUGGCGAACGGGUGAGUAAUGCAUCGGAACGUGCCCAGUCGUGGGGGAUAACGCAGCGAAAGCUGUGCUAAUACCGCAUACGAUCUAUGGAUGAAAGCGGGGGACCGUAAGGCCUCGCGCGAUUGGAGCGGCCGAUGUCAGAUUAGGUAGUUGGUGGGGUAAAGGCCCACCAAGCCAACGAUCUGUAGCUGGUCUGAGAGGACGACCAGCCACACUGGGACUGAGACACGGCCCAGACUCCUACGGGAGGCAGCAGUGGGGAAUUUUGGACAAUGGGCGCAAGCCUGAUCCAGCAAUGCCGCGUGCAGGAAGAAGGCCUUCGGGUUGUAAACUGCUUUUGUACGGAACGAAACGGUCUGGGUUAAUACCCUGGGCUAAUGACGGUACCGUAAGAAUAAGCACCGGCUAACUACGUGCCAGCCGCCGCAGUAAGAC
rnacentral:rRNA from 1 species